rnacentral:rRNA from 1 species
UAGGGAAUCUUCCGCAAUGGACGCAAGUCUGACGGAGCAACGCCGCGUGAGUGAAGAAGGUUUUCGGAUCGUAAAACUCUGUUGUAAGAGAAGAACAAAUUGUAGAGUAACUGCUACAGUCUUGACGGUAUCUUACCAGAAAGCCCCGGCUAACUUCGUGCCAGCAGCCGCGGUAAUACGAAGGGGGCUAGCGUUGUUCGGAUUUACUGGGCGUAAAGCGCACGUAGGCGGACUAUUAAGUCAGGGGUGAAAUCCCGGGGCUCAACCCCGGAACUGCCUUUGAUACUGGUAGUCUUGAGUUCGAGAGAGGUGAGUGGAAUUCCGAGUGUAGAGGUGAAAUUCGUAGAUAUUCGGAGGAACACCAGUGGCGAAGGCGGCUCACUGGCUCGAUACUGACGCUGAGGUGCGAAAGCGUGGGGAGCAAACAGG